GAUGAACGCUGACAGAAUGCUUAACACAUGCAAGUCAACUGUGGCGGACGGGUGAGUAACGCGUAAAGAACUUGCCUCACAGUUAGGGACAACAUUUGGAAACGAAUGCUAAUACCUGAUACUGUGAGAGUGCUUGGCGUCCCAUUAGCUAGUUGGAGAGGUAACGGCUCACCAAGGCGAUGAUGGGUAGCCGGCCUGAGAGGGUGAUCGGCCACAAGGUGACGGGGACACGGCCCUUACUCCUACGGGAGGCAGCAGUGGGGAAUAUUGGACAAAGGACCAAAGUCUGUGCCAGCAAGUCGGUUUGCACGAUGAAUUUUUCGGAAUGUAAAGUUCUUUCAGUUUGGAAGCGGUACUUAACCAGAAAGCGACGGCUAACUACGUGCCAGCAGCCGCGGUAAUUC
rnacentral:rRNA from 1 species